UGGGGAAUAUUGCGCAAUGGGCGAAAGCCUGACGCAGCCACGCCGCGUGAGCGAUGAAGGUCUUAGGAUCGUAAAGCUCUGUGGAGGGAGAAGAAUAAAGCCAGUGAAGAGCUGGCCUUGACGGUAUCCCUUUAGCAAGCACCGGCUAACUCCGUGCCAGCAGCCGCGGUAAUACGGAGGGUGCAAACGUUGCUCGGAAUCAUUGGGCGUAAAGCGCGCGUAGGCGGCUUGGCAAGUUGGAUGUGAAAGCCCUGGGCUCAACCCAGGAAGUGCAUCCAAAACUGCCUGGCUUGAAUCUCGGAGGGGGUCAGGGAAUUCCCGGUGUAGAGGUGAAAUUCGUAGAUAUCGGGAGGAACACCAGUGGCGAAGGCGCUGACCUGGACGAUGAUUGACGCUGAGGUGCGAAAGCGUGGGGAGCGAACAGGAUUAGAUACCCCCGUAGUCC
rnacentral:rRNA from 1 species